rnacentral:rRNA from 1 species
CUACGGGUCGCUCCAGUGAGGAAUAUUGCACAAUGGGGGGAACCCUGAUGCAGCAACGCCGCGUGGAGGAUGACGCAUUUCGGUGUGUAAACUCCUUUUAUAUGUCAAGAAAAUGACGGUAGCAUAUGAAUAAGCACCGGCUAACUCCGUGCCAGCAGCCGCGGUAAUACGGAGGGUGCAAGCGUUACUCGGAAUCACUGGGCGUAAAGGACGCGUAGGCGGGUUGGAAAGUCAGGUGUGAAAUCCUACAGCUUAACUGUAGAACUGCACUUGAAACUUCUAAUCUAGAGUAUGGGAGGGGGAGAUGGAAUUAGUAGUGUAGGGGUAAAAUCCGUAGAUAUUACUAGGAAUAUCAAAAGCGAAGGCGAUCUCCUGGAACAUUACUGACGCUAAGGCGUGAAAGCGUGGGGAGCAAACAGGAUUAGAUACCCGGGUAGUC